rnacentral:rRNA from 1 species
GGGCUCAACUUGGAGACUGCUUCUGAAACUGGUAGACUUGAGUGCAGGAGAGGGAAGUGGAAUUCCUAGUGUAGCGGUGAAAUGCGUAGAUAUUAGGAGGAACACCAGUGGCGAAGGCGACUUCCUGGCCUGUAACUGACACUGAGGCGCGAAAGCGUGGGGAUCAAACAGGAUUAGAUACCCUGGUAGUCCACGCCGUAAACGAUGAGUGCUAGGUGUCGGGGGUAUCGACCCCCUCGGUGCCACAGCUAACGCAAUAAGCACUCCGCCUGGGGAGUACGGUCGCAAGACUGAAACUCAAAGGAAUUGACGGGGGCCCGCACAAGCGGUGGAGUAUGUGGUUUAAUUCGACGCAACGCGAAGAACCUUACCAAGGCUUGACAUCCUGUGACAGCUAUAGAAAUAUAGACUUCUUAGUUUACUAAGACACAGAGACAGGUGGUGCAUGGUUGUCGUCAGCUCGUGUCGUGAGAUGUUGGGUUAAGUCCCGCAACGAGCGCAACCCCUACAGCCAGUUGCCAGCACAUAAAGGUGGGAACUCUGGCAGAACUGCCGUUGACAAAACGGAGGAAGGUGGGGAUGACGUCAAAUCAUCAUGCCCCUUAUGUCUUGGGCUACACACGUACUACAAUGGCCUGAACAGAGGGAAGCAAAACUGCGAAGUUAAGCGAAUCCCUUAAAACAGGUCCCAGUUCGGAUUGUAGGCUGCAACUCGCCUACAUGAAGUCUGAAUCGCUAGUAAUCGCAGUCAGCAUACUGCGGUGAAUACGUU